rnacentral:sRNA from 1 species
AAAAAAGUAGAAGUACCGCUUCUCACCUCGUGGCUAGGGCCUAUAGGUUACAAUUAAGUUAUUUAUGAUAGUAAUUUUUUGUGCGGUCACUUUUUGUGUCCGCAUAUUUUUAUUU